rnacentral:rRNA from 1 species
CCAAGUUCRUCUUGAAAGGGGCCCCGCUUAUCCACAGAGGGUGCCAGGMCCGUAGCGACGGGCGCCGGCCGCGACGUUCCUCUUCCCCAGAGUCGGGUUGCUUGAGAGUGCAGCCCUAAGCGGGUGGUAAACUCCAUCUAAGGMUAAAUACGCCCACGAGACCGAUAGCGAACAAGUACCGUGAGGGARAGUUGAAAAGAACUUUGAAGAGAGAGUUCAAGAGUACGUGAAACCGUUCAGGGGUAAACCUGCGGGACUCGAACGAUCGAACGGGGAGAUUCACUCAGCGCGUCUCCGGGAGUCCGCGUCGGGCCGCGUCGUUCGUGUGAUGAGCGCGAAAYGCACGGUCCGCCGCGCCUCCCGUUCCCGGAGCGCGUGCACUUCUCCCUCAGUACAACACCGCGACCCGUCGGCGUUGCGGCGGUCUACCGCGUCCGGCGGAGAGUCCCGGUGCUCGGCUUCGCGGCCCGUNACCGGAAUCCGCUUCGGCGUCGCGACCGCCGCCCGACGGUAGAGAACGAGGAUCGNANCGCGCGC